UGAGGAACAUGACCUUCGGCGGGGAUAGCCGGCCCAACGGCCGGGUAAUACCGCGUACGACCACAUGGGGACAUCCCUGAGUGGUGAAAGCAGCAAUGCGCCGAUGGAGUGCCUCGCGGCCUAUCAGCUAGUUGGUGUGGGUAACGGCCCACCAAGGCGACGACGGGUAGCCGGCCUGAGAGGGUGACCGGCCACACUGGGACUGAGACACGGCCCAGACUCCUACGGGAGCAGNAGGU
rnacentral:rRNA from 1 species